GUUCUUGUAGUUGAAUACAACGGUGGUUUUUCAAGUCACAGGUCUUGGUUAAAUCCCAGGCUAGAAUU
rnacentral:tRNA from 1 species